rnacentral:rRNA from 1 species
AUCUAUUGAUAUUUUUGUCCGGUGACAGUAUUGUUUUGUGUGCUGCUCUUCGCCAUCGAAAGGGCUCGUCUCCCCUGGGAAGGAGGCGUGUCUGCGGGGGGUCGUGUGUUCCUGGGGGCCUGGCAAACCGCAAGGUGGGUCCAGGUCUCAAAGGUUGCACGGGCUACGGCUGGCCGAAACCCUUUUUUCCGACCUCAGACUCGCCUAGCUGAAGCAAAGUCUCUUCUCCGAAGAGCAAACAACCAAUGACAACUCUCAACAACGGAUAUCUUGGCUCCCGCAACGAUGAAGAACGCAGCGAAAUGCGAUACUUAAUGUGAAUUGCAGAAUUCCGUGAAUCAUCGAGUCUUUGAACGCAUAUUGCGCCCGAGGCCCCGGCUGAGGGCACGCCUGCCUCAGCGUCGGUUGACCCCUAUUGCCCUGCUCCACCCCGGUGAAGCUAGGGCAGAUCUGGCAGUCUCGCUCACCGCGAGUCUGCUGAAGCGCAGAGGCUGUGACGCAUCCAAAUUUGGGCGUCGGUUUGGUAGGUGACCUUGCGUCGCAUGCCACCGGAGCCUUGGAGGCGGCAUCAGCCAGCAGUCUCUUGACUGAGACACACUUAUUCAAAGUUCGACCUGAGUUCAGACGAGACCACCCGCUCAACUUAAGCAUAU